rnacentral:ncRNA from 1 species
CUAAUGAUCUCGGCCGACGGUGCCUCCGCGAGGAGGUGAAAAGGGAACGCGGUGCGAUGCCGCGGCUGCCCCCGCAACUGUAAGCGGCGAGUUCUGCGCCAUCGGCCACUGGGACACCAUCCCGGGAAGGCGGCGAAGGAUGCCUAGACCCGCGAGCCAGGAGACCUGCCGUCAACAGUGUUCCUAU